rnacentral:lncRNA from 1 species
CCGAGUCUCCGCAUUUACGUUCCAUGCAUUUACACAAAUAAUCUAACCAUCCACCACAAGACACAUCAUCAAAAUUUUAAGUAAAGUUUUUUUAUUUCCCAAAACUCAUGUUAACUCAAAUGUUAACGACAUUUGGAUUCUCUUUUUAUGAGCUUCCUCCUCCUCCUUUUAUCAUGUUUGUGCCAUUUUUUUUUCUUCUUCUUUUUUAACUCCUUUAUUCCUGCUUCUUUGUGUUUUUUAUUUAAACAACUGAUUUUGUUAAGACUGAUUUCAUUAAGGGAGCCA